CAGCAGCCGCGGUAAAACGUAGGGUGCAAGCGUUAAUCGGAAUUACUGGGCGUAAAGCGUGCGCAGGCGGUUAUAUAAGACAGAUGUGAAAUCCCCGGGCUCAACCUGGGAACUGCAUUUGUGACUGUAUAGCUAGAGUACGGCAGAGGGGGAUGGAAUUCCGCGUGUAGCAGUGAAAUGCGUAGAUAUGCGGAGGAACACCGAUGGCGAAGGCAAUCCCCUGGGCCUGUACUGACGCUCAUGCACGAAAGCGUGGGGAGCAAACAGGAUUAGAUCCCCCGUAGUCCCUGUCUCUUAUACA
rnacentral:rRNA from 1 species